rnacentral:miRNA from 12 species
AACACACCCAGUUAACCUCUU